CUCCCGCAAUGCUCGACCCCAGGAUCCCCCCGCCGCUUGUUUACCGGCCGUGGCCAACAAGGAAGCAGGCUUUGACGACACUGUGGAAGAACGUGUAAUCAACGAGGAAUACAAAAUAUGGAAAAAGAACAUCCCUUUUCUUUAUGAUUUGGUGAUGACCCAUGCUCUGGAGUGGCCCAGCCUAACUGCACAGUGGCUUCCAGAUGUAACCAGACCAGAAGGGAAAGAUUUCAGCAUUCAUUGACUUGUCCUGGGGACACACACAUCAGAUGAACAAAACCACCUUGUAGCUAGCGUGCAGCUCCCUAAUGAUGAUGCUCAGUUUGAUGCAUCACAUUACGACAGUGAAAAAGGAGAAUUUGGAGGUUUCGGUUCUGUUAGUGGGAAAAUUGAAAUAGAAAUCAAGAUCAACCAUGAAGGAGAAGUAAACUGGGCCCGUUAUAUGCCCCAGAACCCUUGCAUCAUUGCAACAAAGACUCCAUCCAGUGAUGUUCUUGUUUUUGACUAUAUAAAACAUCCUUCUAAAACAGACCCUUCUGGAGAGUGCAACCCAGACUUACGUCUCCGUGGACAUCGGAAGGAAGGCUAUGGACUUUCUUGGAACCCAAAUCUCAGUGGGCACUUACUUAGUGCUUCAGAUGAUCAUACCAUCUGCCUGUGGGACAUCAGUGCUAUUCCAAAGGAAGGAAAGGUGGUGGAUGCAAAGACCAUCUGUACAGGGUAUACAGCAGUAGUUGAAGAUGUUUCCUGGCAGCUGCUCCACGAGUCUUUGUUUGGGUCAGUUGCUGAUGAUCAGAAACUUAUGAUUCGGGAUACUCAUUCCAACAAUACUUCCAAACCAAGCCAUUCAGUGGAUGCUCACACUGCUGAAAUGAACUGCCUCUCUUUCAAUCCUUACAGUGAGUUCAUUCUUGCCACAGGAUCAGCUGACAAGACCAUUGCCUUGUGGGACCUAUGAAAUCUGAAGCUUAAGUUGCAUUCCUUUGAAUCACAUAAGGAUGAAAUAUUCCAGGUUCAGUGGUCACCUCACAAUGAGACUAUUUUGGCUUCUAGUGGUACUGAUCACAGACUGAAUGUCUGGGACUUAAGUAAAAUUGUAGAGGAAUAAUCCCCAGAAGAUGGGCCACCAGAGUUGUUGUUUAUUCAUGGUGGUCACACUGCCAAGAUAUCUGAUUUCUCUUGGAAUCCUAACGAACCUUGGGUGAUUUGUUCUGUAUCAGAGGACAAUAUCAUGCAGUGUGGCAGAUGGCAGAGAACAUCUAUAAUGAUGAAGACCCUGAAGGAAGCGUGGAUUCAGAAGGACGAGGGUCCUAGAUCUGUCUGCAUUUCUUGUGAUUUUUAGGCUCCCCUUCUUUUCUUCUCAACCCUGAGAUUGAUUUAACACUGGUUUUGAGAUACACAGACUUUUUUUGGCUAUCUCUCUAUAAUAGAUACCACCAACAGUGCUAUUAGCCCAAACAGUGGUUGUUUUCUAAAUACUAACUGGGGAACUUGAUUCAGCAAAGCCACAGACUUACAUUUCAAUUUUCUUCAGGAAUUUUCUAGUAACAUACCCAGGUCUACAAGUAGCCACAGAAAGGGGAAUAUUAUGUGUGAUUAUUUUUCUUCUGAUGCUGUAUCCCCAAGUUUUUCAGACUCAUUUAAGUAAAAGCUAGAGUAAGUAAGGAGUAGAGCCAAAUGAUGUAGGUGUCUGAGCCAUGAAGUAUAAAUAUUGCUAUUGCAAGAUUUUGUUUUUAUUCAGGAAAUAGGGGAGAUGCAAGUCAUAGAUUCCCACUCUGAAUAACCUUCACACCUAACCUUCCAGGAUGCACAUUUGCCUGUGUAGACCAGUCUUGGUUUCUUCAGUUAAGUCAAAACUACACGUUCCUCU